AACUGAUACUACCUGCGGGAACCUGCGGAGGGAUCAUUAAUGAGAAACUGCCCCUCGCGGGUAGAUCUCCCACCCUUUGUAAACUUACCUUUGUUGCUUUGGCAGGCCCGUCUCCGGACCGCCGGCUUCGGCUGGCCAGUGCCUGCCAGAGGAUUCUAAAACUCUGUCUGUCAGUGUUGUCUGAGUCUAUAUACAAUCGUUAAAACUUUCAACAAUGGAUCUCUAGAUCGGAAGAGCACA
rnacentral:misc_RNA from 1 species